rnacentral:misc_RNA from 1 species
GGACAACAGGCGCCAGAUAAAUGCGCGUGGAGGAAAACGGGAGCGCUGAUCUGCAGCUGCGGGUGACAAGUAUAAGUUCAGUGUUGAAGAUUUUAGAAAGUGAGGUGGGGGGUGAGCGAGCUCAGAUCACGUCACGUGAGCAAUCUAGUGAGCUGCGUUCCAAGGGCCACCGGUAUCCGAAAGUCUGACCUUUGUUUGAGUCAAGAGCCGAAUUUUUACACCUGGGGAGUAGGGACCUUCUAAAAUGAGAAAUAGAAAACCAUUACAAGGCCGCCCAGAGCAUACCGUCG